UUAUGGUGGUUUCUUGGUGACUCCACGCGUUGCUGCGCCGUGCGAACAUCCCUGAUGUGGCAGAGGACACCUCAUCGUGCACAGAAGCACAAGUGUGCACACUCAGCCACGCUGCAUGAGAAAACCACGCUGAGAGCGACUCCUGGUGUGGGCUGGAACGAAUGGACGCCCAUAGAUCUCAAUUCAGCACUGAGUUAUUGCCAACUACCGGAGCGGUAACACUUCUUAUGGGAAAGUGUAAACCGAGCCAGGGGUCUGCUGGGGGAACACUGCUCUGCGACGCUCAGGAGGAAACACAAACCCGAAACCCAACACCACCAACCCAUGUAGGUGACCAACUACCAAUGCUCAGCGCCAGCAAACGUAAAUUUGGGGACCUGGAAAUACACUCUGGUGGUGUCAGAGGACCGAUGCCUGCGCAGAGCUUUUCCACGCGCCUGCCUUCCUUCUGUGUUCGCUGCAGUGUGCUCAGCUGCUGAACGCUGCACUCAAGAGUUGCUUUAAAAGCACAUGGUGGGACGCAGAGGACCGUCCCGAGCCCCUGCUCAGCCCCAUGCGUGUGCACAGCCCUGCAGCUCUGGCUGCUCUUUGCAAGGCUGAGAUACGCGCCAUCCUCAUAAAAACAAAAUCUUGAAAAUUCCUAAUGUGGAAGGUGAUUAAAAUUCCUAUAAAAUUGUCAUAUCUUUAAAUUUAGAAGCACGGCAGAUUUUUCAUCAAUAAUUAAGAUCUCUAAAGCAUUUAUGCUAGGCAUAAAUGGAGUUUCAAUCUUCCUUAUUCAAAUAAACAUGA